rnacentral:rRNA from 1 species
GACGAACGCUGGCGGCGUGCCUAAUACAUGCAAGUAGAGCGCACAGUUUAUACCGUAGCUUGCUACACCAUAAACUGUGAGUUGCGAACGGGUGAGUAACGCGUAGGUAACCUGCCUGGUAGCGGGGGAUAACUAUUGGAAACGAUAGCCAAUACCGCAUAAUAUUGAUUAUUGCAUGAUAAUUGAUUGAAAGAUGCUAUUGCAUCACUACCAGAUGGACCUGCGUUGUAUUAGCUAGUAGGUGAGGUAACGGCUCACCUAGGCGACGAUACAUAGCCGACCUGAGAGGGUGAUCGGCCACACUGGGACUGAGACACGGCCCAGACUCCUACGGGAGGCAGCAGUAGGGAAUCUUCGGCAAUAGACGAAAGUCUGACCGAGCAACGCCGCGUGAGUGAAGAAGGUUUUCGGAUCGUAAAGCUCUGUUGUAAGAGAAGAACGGGUGUGAGAGUGGAAAGUUCACACUGUGACGGUAUCUUACCAGAAAGGGACGGCUAACUACGUG